CAUGGAGUUUGAUCCUGGCUCAGGACGAACGCUCGCGGCGUGCCUAAGAAAUGCAAGUCGAACGGGGACUUCGGUCCUAGUGGCGAACGGUCGCGUAACACGUAAGCAACCUGCCCUGAAGUGGGGGACAACAUCCCGAAAGGGGUGCUAAUACCGCAUGUGGUCACGAGUCGGCAUCGACUUGUGUCUAAAGAUUUAUCGCUUCAGGAUGGGCUUGCGGCCUAUCAGGUAGUUGGUGAGGUAAAAGCUCACCAAGGCGACGAUCUGUAGCUGGUCUGAGAGGACGACCAGCCACACUGGGGACUGAGACACGGGCCCAGACUCCGUACGGGAGGCAGCAGUAGGGAAUAUUGGGCAAGUGGGCGCAAGCCUGAUCUAGCCCAUGCCCGCGUGAUCGAU
rnacentral:rRNA from 1 species